rnacentral:rRNA from 1 species
AUUGAACGCUGGCGGCAUGCUUUACACAUGCAAGUCGAACGGCAGCGCGGGGGCAACCCUGGCGGCGAGUGGCGAACGGGUGAGUAAUGCAUCGGAACGUAUCCUGUAAUGGGGGAUAACGUAGCGAAAGUUACGCUAAUACCGCAUACGAUCUAUGGAUGAAAGCGGGGGAUCGCAAGACCUCGCGCGAUUGGAGCGGCCGAUAUCAGAUUAGGUAGUUGGUGGGGUAAAGGCCCACCAAGCCAACGAUCUGUAGCUGGUCUGAGAGGACGACCAGCCACACUGGAACUGAGACACGGUCCAGACUCCUACGGGAGGCAGCAGUGGGGAAUUUUGGACAAUGGGCGCAAGCCUGAUCCAGCAAUGCCGCGUGCAGGAUGAAGGCCUUCGGGUUGUAAACUGCUUUUGUACGGAACGAAAAGGCUCUGGUUAAUACCUGGGGCUCAUGACGGUACCGUAAGAAUAAGCACCGGCUAACUACGUG